UUUAAUCUUCACAUUCUGAUUUUUCGUGACAUCUAUUACAGGAUGUGAUUGCCACAAUACCCGACUGGACCUAGGAAUGAGAGCCCCAAGUCACUGUGUAUCAUGCAGUGUUGUCUAUUCACCUUACAUGAAGAAGGAUGUUGGCUUACACACAGAAGUGGGAAUUUUUCUCAGUAAUACUUACAGAACUACAAGCAUGAUAUUUCAUAGCAUACACAGCGUACAUUUGGGCCACGCUGCAUACUAGUGAGAAAGCUGCCUUCACUGUGCACCAAAGUGUGUCUGAACUCCAGCCUCCUGUGAAGAUGAAGCCGUGAGUGACGCUCUCAU